rnacentral:rRNA from 1 species
AACGAACGCUGGCGGCAUGCCUAACACAUGCAAGUCGAACGAGACCUUCGGGUCUAGUGGCGCACGGGUGCGUAACGCGUGGGAAUCUGCCCUUGGGUUCGGAAUAACAGUUGGAAACGACUGCUAAUACCGGAUGAUGACGUAAGUCCAAAGAUUUAUCGCCCAAGGAUGAGCCCGCGUAGGAUUAGCUAGUUGGUGAGGUAAAGGCUCACCAAGGCGACGAUCCUUAGCUGGUCUGAGAGGAUGAUCAGCCACACUGGGACUGAGACACGGCCCAGACUCCUACGGGAGGCAGCAGUGGGUAAUAUUGGACAAUGGGCGAAAGCCUGAUCCAGCAAUGCCGCGUGAGUGAUGAAGGCCUUAGGGUUGUAAAGCUCUUUUACCCGGGAUGAUAAUGACAGUACCGGGAGAAUAAGCACCGGCUAACUCCGUG